UGUGUAGCCCAGACUGGUCUUGAAGUUGCA
rnacentral:piRNA from 1 species